rnacentral:lncRNA from 1 species
CCGCGCCCCCCGGCGGGCGGAGCCCGGCGCCGCGGCCAGGAUUUCCCACCUCGCUCCCGCGACUCCGCUGCGGGUCUGCACACCCGAGGACUCGGUUUGAAACGCCCGCUUAUUUAUUUUCUUGUCGCCUCGCUACAAGAUUCUAUCCUUGUUUGGGCAUGAGUGGGGGGCGGCAGUCUCGUGGGACCGGCGGCAUUCGUCGUUCCUCCUUACGGGGAUAAUUCGAGAAGUGCGGUCCGGGGGUACUUAACCGAAACUAGCAAUCCCAGGCGGUACAAGGCCCUCCAUCGUAGGCAAAGCACUACCUGAAUGUAGAUUUGGGCCAUACGUUGGAAAAUAAGACAUGAGAGUAUGCUCCGAUCAACUUUUACUGUUCACUGGACAACUAUUUUGGGAAUUUGCAGACCUAUAAAGCCCAUCUAUAAAUCUCAAGCAUGUCCACUUUCAGAGAAGAGAAAUGCUGACAACCAUUUAGUCUCUGAGGACAACACUUUUAAAGUGUAACAAUGUGGCAUCCAGAGCUUAUCCAGAUGAGCGGAGAGCAAAUGAAUUUCCUUCUGCUCCCCUGUUGAAGAGGAGAGAAAAAUUCUUCAAGCUUUAUACAGGACUCCAUCAUAGGACUGGAGAGAGAUUGGAUGUCAGAGUGAUUGAUGUGCUCCUACUGGAAGAAGGCAAACAUCCAUAUGUGAACUGCCUGUGGGGUUUCCAAGGAAAGGAACGGCAGGCAGCCUCUAUGAGCUUAAAGAAGAUAACUGGGACUUUAGUCCUAUAACCUCAAGGAACAGUAUUCUGUGAACCAUCUGAGAAGCUUGGAAGAGGACCCCAAACUCCAAAUAAGAAGCUCAGUGUGUCUGACACCUUGACUGCAGGCUUGGGAGGUCCUGAGCAGAAGAUCCAGUUCAACAGUGCCUGGACUCCUGAUCCACAAAAACUGAUAACAAAUAUUUAUUGUUUUAAGAUGCUAAGUUUGUAGUCAUUUUUUAUACAGCAACAGAAAACUAAACACACACAUAAACAGUUAUAAGUGCUCACUGUAUAUGAGGCUUUUCAUUAAUAAUCUAUAUUUUAUAAUAGAAUUAGAAUAUAGAUCUGUGAAGCUGAAGACACUCAAUCCUUGCUAGAUUUAAAUCAGGAAAAUCAGCUGAGAAUCAUUCCUUGAUAGAACCUGGAAAACAAGACCCUAUGAGAGACCCUGGGAAUUACAUUAAAUUCACUGUGGUUCCCAGUGUCACUGAAGAGGUUUUCCUUUCAUAGUCAGGUAGUCACCAUACUGUUAAGCAUUUGAACACAUGGGCAACUUCCAGAAUAGUUAUGACAUUGAUAUACCAAUCUCCAAAAUUCCUAGAAUACCAUGUUUUCAUGGUUGACCUUCAAAUCAGUCAGUUCUUUGUAACAUUGAGCCAUAAAGAUAGGGCAAAUACUUAAUGUUUUACAUAUAUUCAGAGAUUGACCCUCAAAAUACAGCCCAGAGAAACUCAAAAGAAUUAACUCUAUUUCUUCAAAUUGUGUGACGCCACCAAGGCCAGAUGACUUCAGCAUUGGGAAGGCAAUAUCCAGCUGUCAUCUUCUUGAUCCUCAUAUGCUACUACUAGCAUCUAGCAUUUACUGAGCAGAUAGUUUUAUUGUCCAGUUUUUAAAGAUAAGAAAAUUGAGGUAUUAGGAAAGUUAAGUUGGUUGCCUAGGGAAACACGAAGAUAUAGCCCAGAUUCACUCCCAGGCAGGCAGAUGCCAGUGUCUGCUCUCUUUACCACCGAAAUAUCCUGCUACAUGUACAAUUUCAAUAAAUAUCUGGACUUACUGGAACAAAACAAAUCAACAACAUUCUUAUUUUCUUUCUUCAGUUUAGAUUAAAUAAUUUAAAUGUCUUCUUAAGAAGCUACAGUUUUUUGAGGCACAGAGGGAUAGGAGGGUAGGUCCUACCAGUUGAGUCACUCAGCCCUAUAGUUGUGAAAAUCCUUAAUUUUAAGAAGCAGCAGUAAAGUCUCUACUUCUCAAGCUUGCCAUUAGAUGGUUUUAAAUAAUUGACAGGCUCUG